UUGAGAGGGUGAUCUCUAGAUGGCAUGCUGAUGGAUCUGACAUGGUAAGGCUGAUUAGGUGUUGCAGGACAACCAGCCAUAGCCACCAGUAUGUUGUUGGAAGGCCUUUGGAAUGGAUUGCCAAAUGAAGAGUAGAGCAAAAACGAUGGGAAGAUGUGAACAAGCCUGGAACUUCCCCUACUUAUAGUCCCUAUUUCAUAAAGCAGAUGUGAGGCAAGUGGAAUCUAACCAGCCGAGCUCAAUAUGAUAUGCCAAUCUUGCAAUUUGGAUCUUGUAGCCUCAUCUCUGAUCAGGAUACGUACUUGAAAGAAACAUGAUAUGUCCCUUUUCCAUCCCUCUACUUCCUGUCGCGUGCCACAUAACCUCCUUUUCCGUGCAUUGUAGAGAAACGACCACCUGCAAGUCUUCAUUCUCCCUGUCUGCAUUGUCAAGAAAGAUGACACCAGAUGAAGCAGAGGCAGUUGUGAUUGGAUUCAGAACCCCAGAGAUUCUACCCACAAUAGGCUGUCUUUCGAAUUACCACAUAAAUCCGGCAUCGACUAAUCUUCCAGCCAUUUCCACUGCAUGUAAAAGUGAAGGCUUGGUUGCAUGGCGACUGAACAAGCCCCUCAUUGAUUCGUGUGCAGCUGCAAUCUCUCUCAACCACUUGAAUAUAUUGAAAGGCAUAUCAGCAUAACAACUGAAGAAGCGGAAAGGAAAUGAGCGUGGGGUUUCAUUCUUUUGCUCCUCUGCUUUUAAGACAUCAACAUCCACAUCUUUAGGUUGGUCAGAUGGGAAACGACAAGAAUAGCGGUAUUUCUUUUCUUUACUCUCCCACUCUUUCGUGAGUUGCUAGGUGCUGCUAUCCCAUGUGAUGUCAAGGCGGUUCUUGGCUUGCAAUGUAUUUCUUUUACUGACAUCUUCCAAAUUGGUCAGCGGUCAUUUCUGUUUCUGUAAUUCAUGACGAAAUGGAUGCCUGGCACUUUGUUCAUCGCCCAACAUGUCAUGUCCCAUCAAUUACCAGCAAGAUGCAAGACCUGAGACUAACAACUUUUAUAUGGUUCAAUGCAGUCAGAAACACACAAAGAAUCUGAUCAAGACAUAUGUUACGGCAUUAGAAUAUAUUAACUCCUCAACUAAAGUAUUUGUUUAUGAUGCACAGGUGCAGUAUGGCAGCUUGUCUGCCCAACAAUCUACCACUCUCUAUGGUGGUUUGCUGGAUUUGCACAUAUAUGUUUCAGGUGAAGUAGGAGUGUGCACAUGUUGAUAAUGGCCCUUGAGUACAUAUGGUCAGCAACUCACAUCUUGGAGUUAUCUCAAUGGCAAGAUGUUCUGCAGAACAGAAAGAUUCCAAAGUAUUAUAUAGUUGGGGUUCCUUCAAGAAUCACAAAGAAAUUGUGUAUAUGGUCAAGCUGUGGCCAAUCUGGCCACUUUCCUCUUUUGCAAUGCCUUUGAGAUAAGAGACCAUCUGCUAGCUUUGCCUUGCGGCGUCGGCAUGGACAAGAAUUUGAAGAUGGACUGGAGAAGGGAAAUGGUGAUUGCUCUUGCUUCCCUCAGAAUCUCGGUCACCAUCCAUGAGUCCUUGCCGUUGCUACAACAUGAGACAUCCUUGUCAUACAUCUGCUUCAGUAAUUUGAAGAUACUCUUGAUACUCUUCUCUGCCUUCUUGUCAAAACGAAUGUGAGUAUACAUCUUGCUCUCUGCAACUGUUACUCCUUGUCUUCUGUGGGCUAUUUCAAGCGUUCUGAUCUGGUCCUUUGUUGUCAUCAUGCUGUCUCUCAUGAUGCCCAGCAAGUCCAGCAGCCUGACAGAUCCGUCCAACUCCACUUCCACACUUUCUUUUUCUUGUAUGUUGGAAUAUUUGCUCAUAGGCAAAUGGAGAAGCUCCUCGAUGCACUCGUACAAACCUCCGAGCGCUCUCAAUCCCUCGCAUAUAGUUUGGGCUGAUAAACAGGAUUGAGCCACCAAAGACUUGAGCUUCUGCAUCUCUUCCUCUACUCUGAGCUUGAGAGGGUGAUCUCUAGAUGGCAUGCUGAUGGAUCUGACAUGGUAAGGCUGAUUAGGUGUUGCAGGACAACCAGCCAUAUCCACCAGCAUGUUGUUGGAAGGCCUUUGGAAUGGAUUGCCAAAUGAAGAGUAGAGCAAAAACGAUGGGAAGAUGUGAACAAGCCUGGAACUUCCCCUACUUAUAGUCCCUAUUUCAUAAAGCAGAUGGGAGGCCAGUGAAAUCUUACCAGCCGAGCUCAAUAUGAUUUGCCAAUCUUGCAAUUUUGAUCUUGUAGCCCCAUCUCUGAUCAGGAUACGUACCUGAAAGAAGCAUGAUAUGUCCCUUUUCCAUCCCUCUACUUCCUGUCGCGUGCCACAUAACCUCUUUUUCCGUGCAUUGAAGAGAAACGACCACCUGCAAGUCUUCAUUCUCCCUGUCUGCAUUGUCAAGAAAGAUGACACCAGAUGAAGCAGAGGUAGUUGUGAUUGGAUUGAGAUCCCCAGAGAUUCUACCCACCAUAGUUAUGUCACAAUCCUUAUCAACACAUUUGCCCUUAAUCUGCUUCAGUGAUCUAGAGAAUAACAUCACAUUGUUGUCUGCCUUCUUAGCAAAGCGAAUGUGAGCAUUCACUUCUUCGAGCGCAGCAUCAUCUCAUCGUGGAUGUGUUUUUUUACUGUGGCCAGGCUGUCUUUCGAAUUACCACAUAAAUCUGGCAUCGACUCAUCUUCCAGCCAUUUCCACUGCAUGUAAAAGUGAAGGCUUGGUUGCAUGGCGACUGAACAAGCCCCUCAUUGAUUCGUGUGCAACUGCAAACUCUCUCAACCACUUGAAUAUAUUGAAAGGCAUAUCAGCAUAACAACUGAAGAAGCGGAAAGGAAAUGAGCGUGGGGUUUCAUUCUUUUGCUCGUCUGCUUUUAAGACAUCAACAUCCACAUCUUUAGGUUGGUCUGAUGGGAAACUACAAGAAUAGCGGUAUUUCUUUUCUUUACUGUCCCACUCUUUCGUGAGUUGCAAGGUGCUGCUAUACCAUGUGAUGUCAAGCUGGUUCUUGGCUUGCAAUGUAUUUCUUUUACUGACAUAUUCCAAAUAGGUCAGCGGUCAUUUCUGUUUCUGUAAUUCUUGAAUAAAUGGAUGCCUGGCACUUUGUUCAUCGCCCAACAUGUCAUGUCCCAUCAAUUAGCAGCAAGAUGCAAGACCAGAGACUAACAACUAUUACAUGGUUCAACGUAGUUAGAAACACAAAGAAUCUGAUCAAGACAUAUGUUACGGCAUUAGAAUAUAUUAACUCCUCAACUAAAGUAUUUGUUUAUGAUGCACAGGUGCAGUAUGGCUGCUUGUCUGCCCAACAAUCUACCACUCUCUAUGGUGGUUUGCUGGAUGUGCACAUAUAUGUUUUAGGUGAAGUAGGAGUGUGCACAUGUUUAUAACGGCCCUUGAGUACAUAUGGUCAGCAACGCACAUCUUGGAGUGAUCUCAAUGGCAAGAUGUUCUGCAGAACAGAAAGAUUCCAAAGUAUUAUAUAGUUGGGUUUCCUUCAAGAAACACAAAGAAGUUGUGUAUAUGGUCAAGCUGUGGCCAACCUGAGACCAUUUGCUAGCUUUGCCUUGCGGCGUCGGCAUGGACAAGAAUUUGAAGAUGGACUGGAGAAGGGAAAUGGUGAUUGCUCUUGCUUCCCUCAGAAUCUCGGUCACCAUCCAUGAGUCCUUGCCGUUGGUACAACAUGAGCCAUACUUGUCAUCCAUCUGCUUCAGUAAUUUGAAGAUACUCUUGAUACCCUUCUCUGCCUUCUUGUCAAAACGAAUCAAGUCAAGCAGCCUGACAGAUCCGUCCAACUCCACUUCCACACUUUCUUUUUCUUGUAUGUUGGAAUAUUUGCUCAUAGGCAAGUGGAGAAGCUCCUCGAUGCACUCGUACAAACCUCCGAGCGCUCUCAAUCCCUCGCAUAUAGUUUGGGCUGAUAAACAGGAUUGAGCCACCAAAGACUUGAGCUUCUGCAUCUCUUCCUCUAUUCUGAGCUUGAGAGGGUGAUCUCUAGAUGGCAUGCUGAUGGAUCUGACAUGGUAAGGCUUAUUAGGUGUUGCAGGACAACCAGCCAUAUCCACCAGUAUGUUGUUGGAAGGCCUUUGGAAUGGAUUGCCAAAUGAAGAGUAGAGCAAAAACGAUGGGAAGAUGUGAACAAGCCUGGAACUUCCCCUACUUAUAGUCCCUAUUUCAGAAUGCAAAUGGGAGGCAAGUGGAUUAUAACCAGCCCAGCUCAAUAUGAUAUGCCAAUCUUGCAAUUUGGAUCUUGUAGCCUCAUCUCUGAUCAGGAUACAUACCUGAAAGAAGCAUGAUAUGUCCCUUUUCCAUCCCUCUACUUCCUGUCGCGUGCCACAUAACCUCUUUUUCCGUGCAUUGAAGAGAAACGACCACCUGCAAGUCUUCAUUCUACCUGUCUGCAUUGUCAAGAAACAUGACACCAAAUGAAGCAGAGGCAGUUGUUAUUGGAAUCAGAUCCCCAGAGAUUCUACCCACCAUAGGCUGUCUUUCGAAUUACCACAUAAAUCCGGCAUCGACUCAUCUUCCAGCCAUUUCCCCUGCAUGUAAAAGUGAAGGCUUGGUUGCAUGGCGACUGAACAAGCCCCUCGUUGAUUCGUGUGCAGCUGCAAUCUCUCUCAACCACUUGAAUAUAUUGAAAGGAAUAUCAGCAUAACAACUGAAGAAGCGGAAAGGAAAUGAGCGUGGGGUUUCAUUCUUUUGCUCCUCUGCUUUUAAGACAUCAACAUCCACAUCUUUAGGUUGGUCAGAUGGGAAACGACAAGAAUAGCGGUGCUGUAUAGCAGCUUGUCUGCCCAACAAUCUACCACUCUCUAUGGUGGUUUGCUGGAUCUGCACAUAUAUGUUUUUGGUGAAGUAGGAGUGUGCACAUGUUGAUUAUGGCCCUUGAGUACAUAUAGUCAGCAACACACAUCUUGGAGUGAUCUCAAUGGCAAGAUGUUCUGCAGAACAGGAAGAUUCCAAAGUAUUAUAUAGUUGGGGUUCCUUCAAGGAACACAAAGAAGUUGUGUAUAUGGUCAUGCUGUGGCCAACCUGGCCACUUUCCUCUUUUGCAAUGCCUUUGAGAUCAGAGACCAUCUGCUAGCUUUGCCUUGCGGCGUCGGCAUGGACAAGAAUUUGAAGAUGGACUGGAGAAGGGAAAUGGUGAUUGCUCUUGCUUCCCUCAGAAUCUCGGUCACCAUCCAUGAGUCCUUGCCGUUGGUACAACAUGAGACAUACUUGUCAUCCAUCUGCUUCAGUAAUUUGAAGAUACUCUUGAUACCCUUCUCUGCCUUCUUGUCAAAACGAAUCAAGUCCAGCAGCCUGACAGAUCCGUCCAACUCCACUUCCACACUUUCUUUUUCUUGUAUGUUGGAAUAUUUGCUCAUAGGCAAGUGGAGAAGCUCCUCGAUGCACUCGUACAAACCUCCGAGCGCUCUCAAUCCCUCGCAUAUAGUUUGGGCUGAUAAACAGGAUUGAGCCACCAAAGACUUGAGCUUCUGCAUCUCGUCCUCUACUCCGAGCAUGAGAGGGUGAUCUCUAGAUGGCAUGCUGAUGGAUCUGACAUGGUAAGGCUGAUUAGGUGUUGCAGGAUAACCAGCCAUAUCCACCAGUAUGUUGUUGGAAGGCCUUUGGAAUGGAUUGCCAAAUGAAGAGUAGAGCAAAAACGAUGGGAAGAUGUGAACAAGCCUGGAACUUCCCCUACUUAUAGUCCCUAUUUCAUAAAGCAGAUGGGAGGCAAGUGGAAUCUAACCAGCUGAGCUCAAUAUGAUCUGCCAAUCUUGCAAUUUGGAUCUUGUAGCCUCAUCUCUGAUCAGGUCAUACUCACAUCUCAAUUUUUAAAUGCCACUGUGUUCCACAUGCUUGUGUCAAGCUUGUGAUGGUACACAUCACCAUCUUUAUUUUUAUACAUUGGUGUCAUCUGGAUCUUGAACACUUUCUUUAAGCAGGUUGAUUUCAAUAUUUGUUAA